GACAGACCUCACUGUCCCCAGCCAACACCCAUCCUGACAGCAGCUGCUGAAGCCGCAGCCUGUGGGCUAGACCUCUGGGUUCCUGCUUCCUCUGGUUGGUGGGUCAUUGAGGGAACCCCUUGCCACCUGCAGCCCCUCCCUGCCUACCCAGCUGCUGAGGAGCUGUGACAAUACCUCCGGGACUCAAGAUGGCAGAGCCUGUCCCUACAUCCUCAGUGAGCGUGUUACCUCCUGGCCUCGUCCCUGGCCUGGGCCUGUGAUGUAGGGAAGAUGGUGAUCCCUCCAGAAUGCACAGAAACUUCACAUGCCCCAUGCUCCCUCCCUCCGACUGUGUCCUCUUGCUGCACACAGGAGAGACGCCACGCCCUCCUGGCUCGGCACUGGAUGCCCCUGGGAAACCCCUCCUGCCUGCAGCUGAAGAGCUACCAGAACAGACCUGGUCUAUGAGAGAACGGCACUGCAGUUCUGCUGCACACCACUGACCAAGGCACAGGAUGUUUGAAGUCUGCUGCUGGGGAUCUGAGCUGCAAGCGUUUUACUCUCUGUGCCGAUGUGCUGUCUCCCCGUCCCAGCCCCAUCCGCAAAUUUAAAAACUAACGAUGAAAACACAUCAAGAGCGGUUGUUGGGGGUUGGAAAGAUGGCUCAGAGAGAAGGCUGCUCUUCCAGAGGUCCUGAGUUCAAUUCCCAGCAACCACAUGGUGGCUCACACCCAUCUCUAAAGGGAUCUGAUGCCCUCUUCUGGUGAGUCUGAAGACAGCGAC